AGUGGCGUUGUAGUUAGGGACGUGGUGUCCCCCCUUCGUUGUUGGGGUGUCCGAAGCUUUUUUUUUUUUUUAAUGUGAUCCCGCCCCUCCCCCGCGCUCUGUGACGCACCAGAGACGUCGUCGUAAACUGGGUUUCCUGGACGCACGCCAGUGAUUGACUUGGAAUGAGGAGAGGGGCGGGGCCUUAGCAGUUGCCCUGAGCCAGGUCUGGUAGGAAGGGCGAGGGGGGCCAGGGUGGGGGGCGGGCAAGAUAUUUCCAGUCUCCAGCACCCACAAGUUGGACUGGGGAACUAACGCAGACCUUGAAGGCAGAUUUACUGGAUUGGACCCCCAGCUCCAACACAGUCCUCCUAUGGCCUUAGGCAAGCCAAGUAACCGCUUUGUGCUUCGGUUUCCCCAUCUGUAAAAUGGGUAUAAUAUGGGGACUACAUGAGUUAAUGUAUGCAAAGCACUUAGAACAGUACCUGGCAUAGAAUUUUGCUAUUGUAAUAAAGGCUAUGUGACAUCAUCUAGUGGCAUAUAGUCUUACAUACUUAUAUCGAGGCUGCUCAUCUUGGGAAGGAGACACAGUCUGAGUAAUUAUCAGAAGCAAAGCAGGCAGAUAUUUCAAAGUAAAGCUAUACAUCUUUUCUUGGCCCAGAGAGGAGCUACAAAGAAAGUAUACUGGACGUUGGAAAUGUAUCAUUUUUCCUCUCAAAUACGAAGCUAGAUUAAAGCCCAUUAUAGAUAUAGUAUAUGUUUUUUUUUUGUUUUUGUUUUUGUUUGAGACGGAGUUUUGCUCUUGUUGCCCAGGCUGGAGUGUAGCGGUGUGAUCUCGGCUCACUGCAACCUCUGCCUCCUGGGUUCAAGCGAUUCUCCUGCCUCAGCCUCCAGAGUAGCUGGGAUUACAGGCGUCUGCCACCAUGCCCAGCUAAUUUUUGUAUUUUUAGUAGAGACGGGUUUCACCAUGUUGGACAGGCUGGUCUAUGUUCUUUUUGCUCCUACUUUUGCCAUAACAGACCCUGCCCUUAUGUCCUGUUGCCUGUAAAACACUGUUGCGAAGCCCCAAGAAAUCAAUUACGUAACAGUGAAGAGAGAAACCGGUUGUUUAAUUGCAGUCACGUUUAUUUGCAGUUUCUAUACACACUUUCUAGGUAAUCAAACUUUUCUGAUACAUUUUUUUUGAGAGGGGUUCACAAUGAAACUGUCACCAUUUUUACUAAAAAUAAAUACAAGACUUAAAGUGUUGCACAGCUCUAAAAUAUACAAAGGCUUGGAUUGAAUGUAAACGUUGAAAACAUCUUACAAAAGAAACCAUCUUUGCAGCAAUUUAAAAAGUUCAUAUUUACAAAUAUUACAAAAAUACAAAAUGGAUGCAAGUCCAUAAACCAUUGUCGUUUCGGCCAGCAUGAACUGGUUCUAGUACCAAAAUAGUUACACUGUAACCUUCUUCAUAGUUUUAAAUCUUUAUUACCAUCUAGUUCUCUACGUGCCACCACUGCAGCAAAUGCACUCACUCACUGACCUUUGGCAAGAGCAAACAGCAUGUUCUGUUUGCUACAACUAGUCCAUGUCCUCUACUUAGCCAAAAACAAAUCAAAACAACAACAAAACCAAAGUAGAAUUUUUAAAAAAUGAAAAAAUUUCCCCUACACAACAUAGAUACGUUGUAUAAACAUAAAAGAACAAAAAAUCGCAUCAGUGCAAACAACAGAAGAAAAGUUCGGAUUGAUGUUCUUCACAAUACCUAACGUGUGUACCCUGCUUCAAGACGGCAGUGAUGUUAAAGACAGCCCUAAAUCUUGGUCUUGUUUGCUAUGUAAUCAAGCCAUGUAGAAUAUUCCAGAUUAUUAGGGAACUUCCUGCUUUUUCUUCUCAGUUUGUAACUCAAUACUCUUUUCCACAGUGAAUUUUAAAUCCAUCUUUAUUUGGGUUUUUUAAAUCUAUGAAAUAUAAAAUAGAGAAACUCUGCUAUAGAUUUUUAGAGUAAACAAAAUAAGUAAAACUAUAUUAUAAGGGUUAGUUCUGUGAUCAUUACAUAUAGAAGGUAUCUUAUUGCCUCACAAUUCAAGUCAAUAUGUAUUUUAAAAAAUAUAUGGUACCAUUACUUAAUGUCAAUAAUAAAAAGGUGACAUUUUUAUUAAAGCCAAUUCAUGUGUUUUCUAUUCAAGAUUUAGAAUCACUUUUAAAGCCCACAUACCUUUCUUCACACUUAAAAAACCCCUAACUACACAAAAGCCAUACUGCAAACGAACUGCUUUUAUGAAAUUACGAAAGAUCGCCUACUGUGACUGGAAAUGACGGUUUCUUAUCGCAUUUGCCUAAAAACUUUAUUUUUAAAACUUUGCAAGGUGUACUUUUCAAAUCAUGAGACAGAUUUAUUCAUGUUCCCAUGUGGUGUCAAACCAUGCUGGUUUUCUUAAUUAAUGGGUUCCAAUGAGAAAUGGUGGUCCAUUUUAUUCAAACCCCAAAAUAUUUUUCUUUUAAGAAAAAGUGUGACAUUUUGUAAAUGUUCAAACCCUUUACCAGGUAGCUUAUCUAUCCCCAGUGUGUGUGCGUACACACACACUCACACUCACACACACCCAUACACACUCUCUCUGACUCUCCCUCCUCUUAUACCCCUCCACCCCCAGCACCCAUUUUACAUACAAGGAUGACAAGAAAUUUAGUAACACAGUUUGGUAGUGAAAACAAAUAGUAGAAGAAGCCAGACAUUUUUUUUCUUUCCAAACAAACAAAACAACAGCAAUCAGAUUAUCUAUUCUUAAUCUGUAGCAGUUUAGAAAUCAUUUCUAUUGAAAGACAGUAUCUUCUUAGACCAGGCUUCCUCCUUCAUUUUGCAUGAAUUAAUCCAAAAUGCAAACCCUCUUCCACACCUCCUACUUUCCCAACUACCACUUGCAUAAGCUUAAAGCCAGCAGCUUGUCAAUUUCUUGGUAACAUUGGUAUGUUCUAUCACUCUAAUCACAUUCUAGUCUUUUAUAAGUCAGAUCCCUUCUUAAUUCUCUCUCUGUUCUACCUCUCCCAUUCAAAACCUAUUCUAAGUACAUAGCUGCUUAUAUUUCUGACAUAAGAUUCCAAACAUUAGUAUAAGUUCAUGUUAAAAUCAGAGGUGUAAAAACCAUUUGCAGAUUUUAACGUGUAACUACAUUUUUUUUUCAGUUUUAAGACAAGAAAAUUCAAGUAAUUUCAAGUAAUUCAGCUUGUUUCCCUGCCUUUAUUUUAUCAGAGCACAUGCCCUGACAUUUCCUCUCCCACCCUCCACCCUCCCCUUUUGCCAUCAAGCAGACACUAUAGUAAAACCAGACAAAAACUCAGUUGUAUGUAGUAUUGUGAACCAGAGCUGUUCCCCAUUCCCAGUUUAACAAUGAGUAUAAAUAAUGCAUAUACACAUACCUAUUUUCCAACUACAUUGUUCACAGUGUCAUUUCUGUUAAUUUUUAGGUAGCAUGAAUCUCAUCAGCACAGAGAGAAAGCUUCACUGAAAACUCAUUACAGGUACUUACUGAUUAAUCAAUAGCUCUGUGGCAUGCUUAGGUUUUAUUUUUGUUAGUUUAAGAACCUGGAGCUAAUUUCUAAACUGUUUAAGGAGUUUAAUGAUUACAGUCAUUAGUUAUGACCGUUUAUGUCCCCAGUAGCCUAAUAUAAAACAUAACCUAAAAUUAACUACUAUUUUCCCUACUCAUUCUCUUUAAAGCAAUCCAUUGAAAAAAUUAAAAUCUAAAGGACACUGUCAAAUGCUGUUGUUCAGGGCUUUGUGUUGAGAAUGAUGACUUCUCUCACUGAUUAAAAAAAAAAUCAAAAGCAUGCUUUUCAUUCUGUCCAAAUUACCACACAACAAAUCACAGCCAUGGGUUGCUAUUAGUUUGUUUGGUGCUGCAAUUUGUCAUAAAAAUGAUUAGAUCUGAAUUCAUUAUUUUAAUUUAUUCAUAUUUCAGUAUAUGACCUCAAGAUUUCCUUUAGUUCACCAGUUUAAAAUUCAUAUUUGAGGUUUACCACUCAGAAAUCAUAUUGGUGGACAUUUAAAUAUGGCAUUUGAUAUGAAAAUGGUAUUCACAGAAUACAGUUAUUACAUUUUAUUUUUGUGUAUUCUAUAAACAGUUGGUGUGCAGUAGAUAAUUGACCACAUGUCCACUCAUCAUUGAUAAAUCUAUUUACACAUUUUUAUCAAAAAUAUGGUAUUUACAUAUGUGUAGUUCUUUCUUCUAAAUUUUGCUUUAGUUUGUUUUAAUGUAAAAAAAUACCAAACAUCCAGAGUAAUUUCAUCUUCUUAAAGAAUAAUGACAGUGAGGGCUUUAGUUUCUGAAUAGGCAGCUCUGGGAAAACGUUUUCUAGGUGUCAUGAAAAUUAGACAAUUUUGUAUCCUCUAUUUUCACAAGGAAGGAGAUUGCGUAAAUCAAACUAUGCUAAAGAAAAACAUGAAAGACUGCAGCUACUUAAAAUAUGGAAACUAAUCAAGAAUGUCUAAACCACUUUCUGUUUACCCAGCACAUACUGUAUUUAGAAAUUCAUUCAUUGCUUAGCAGUGAUGCUACCCCAUCAAGUUGAGACUUUUCCCAAGUCCUCUGUUCUGUUCCUCCAUCCUCAUGUGAGUAAGGGUUUUGGCCUUUGCCAGGCAGCCUGGUACAGGCAGUCUAUGUUGAACUCUGGGAGGAACGGUCGUCAUGUGGGCUCCCGUCAGAAUUUUCCGUCUCUCCCUCGGAGAUUGCCUGCAUGGGCGUAUUGUACAGCCGGCAGCGGACACUGUAGCGGCUGCUGCUGGCUGCAGGAGGGGCCCGAGAACGUCCAACCCUUGCUGAUGCUGAGGUGGCAAAGCUCUUCGAGGAAAAGCCUUCUGCAUUAACUCGUGGGGAGCAUGGAGAGAGUGGGGACAAUGCCUCAGCCCCUUGUGACCCCUGAUGGGCAUCAUCGGUGCUCUGAGGGGACUCUGCUGUGAGCUCCCCAGGAGGUUUGGGCAGUAUGGGGCUCUUCAGGAUCUCAGUGGCAGACAUGCGGUAACUAGAAUCUGAGCGACUGCCUUUCUUGAGCAGUAACAGCUUAAACUCUUCAUUGGAUGUGUUGGACUUUUUGGCAUUUCGGUAUAUGAGACCAGGAGACCUCUGGCUGUUGGGGGUUGUCACAUUACUGCUGGGUGAAGUGAUGGAACUGGCGCUGCUGCUGCUACUGCUGAGGGGAGCUCUCGAUUUGCUUCGAACAGACAUGUCCCCGGAAUCUUUUCUUCCAAGUACUUUCCUCUUGGAUCUUUG
rnacentral:lncRNA from 1 species